GAGGCCUUAGCUUAAUUAAAGUGUCUGAGUUGCAUUCAGAGGAUGCGUUUUAAUCUUCGCAGGUCUUA
rnacentral:tRNA from 1 species